GGGGGGGGGGAGGGGGAGGCUGGGCGGGGGCGGGGCGGGGGGCAGCGUGGUCGUAGCUUGCUAAGGCCGAUGGCGACCGGCGCACGGGGGCGUAACACGUAUCCAACCUGCCGUCUACUCUUGGACAGCCUGCUGAAAGGAAGCUUAAUACAAGAUGGCAUCAUGAGUCCGCAUGUUCACAUGAUUAAAGGUAUUCCGGUAGACGAUGGGGAUGCGUUCCAUUAGAUAGUAGGCGGGGUAACGGCCCACCUAGUCUUCGAUGGAUAGGGGUUCUGAGAGGAAGGUCCCCCACAUUGGAACUGAGACACGGUCCAAACUCCUACGGGAGGCAGCAGUGAGGAAUAUUGGUCAAUGGGCGAGAGCCUGAACCAGCCAAGUAGCGUGAAGGAUGACUGCCCUAUGGGUUGUAAACUUCUUUUAUAAAGGAAUAAAGUCGGGUAUGGAUACCCGUUUGCAUGUACUUUAUGAAUAAGGAUCGGCUAACUCCGUG
rnacentral:rRNA from 1 species